GGCUACCUGGCGCAAUGGUAGCGCGUUUGGCUUCGAUCGCCCAACGGCUGCUUGAGUAGUUGGAUUCUAACCAAAAGGCUGCAGGUUCGAGUCCUGCGGUGGUCA